rnacentral:misc_RNA from 1 species
AGAUAUUCAUCUUCAAUGUAGCCACCCAAGUUCUCAACACGCUUGCGUUCUGGCAAAUAAGAAGGCCUGUGAUCUUGUGACAUAUCAACAGCUACCCCUUUCCUGCAUAGAACUGCCCGGCAGUCGCCAGCAUUUGCAACCAGUAGAUGUCUGCCAAGAACAAGAGCAGUCAGUGCUGUUGUUCCACAAGAACUGCUAACACUGCUUUCAUCAGCUAAGGCAACGUCUGCCAGCAAAAAUGCCUUCCUAUGGGAAUUCACCAAUGCUUCUAGGAACAUGGCAUCAAUAUCAGAUGUUUGUGGCAACUCAGCAUCUUCAAAAAAUAACCUCAUUGCAUUUUUCUUUAUAUAAGCAGCAGCAUCAGGCCCACCAUGACCAUCAAACACUGCAUAAAAAGCACUUGGCCACUUGAAGAAAGAACCCAAACAAGCAGAUAGAUCAUCAAUUCGAAUGUGUUCAUCAUCCAUAGAGGGCCUUGUUCCAAUGUCAGCAUAGCUACCAGAGCGAAUGCUUGGAAAAGACUUAGCAGCAGACGAGUCAAUAGCUGCUUCUUUCAUGGUCUCUGUGCAACUCACAGCUGAUUCAAAUCGCGAGAUAUCAGUGGAGAUUGACUCAAAGAUGGGAGUCGAAGGAACUGUCACAUCUACGUUCAAGUUCUGCAGGUGAUACUGCACGUCAAGAACCGGAGGAAUGCUAGGUUGACAGAUAAUCUCUGCUUCCGCAACCAUUUUUUCAUUCAUUAUCAUCUUUGAAACGUCGUCGCUUAAAAGGUUCUUCCCCUUCUAGCGCUACCAAGAACAAAGCUAUGGCUUCAAAGACAGAAAUCCAGAAAACCUCACGCCACAAAGUCGAAGGAAAACGGAAUUUGUCUCCCUCUCUUUCUUGUGCAAAAUAGAGUAACUUCUUUCGAAGCAAUUUAGGGUUUCAAAUUCUGAUUCUCUUGCUCUCACUCUUGCUUUCUCUCCUCUCCGCUCC